rnacentral:rRNA from 1 species
AACGAACGCUGGCGGCAGGCUUAACACAUGCAAGUCGAGCGCCCCGCAAGGGGAGCGGCAGACGGGUGAGUAACGCGUGGGAAUCUACCCUGAACUGCGGAAUAGCUCCGGGAAACUGGAAUUAAUACCGCAUAUGCCCUGAGGGGCAAAGGUUUAUCUGGUUUAGGAUGAGCCCGCGUUGUAUCAGCUAGUUGGUAGGGUAAUGGCCUACCAAGGCUAUGACGCUUAGGAGAGGUGAGAGCCUGACCUCCACCGGUGGGACUGAGACACGGCCCACACACCUACGGGUGGCUGCAGUCGAGAAUCUUCCGCAAUGGGCGAAAGCCUGACGGAGCGACGCCGCGUGAUUGAUGAAGAGCUUCGGUUUGUAAAGAUCUUUUAUGGGGGAAGAAGUUUAUUGACGGUACCCCAUGAAUAAGGACCUGCAAAACUCGUGCCAGCAGCCGCGGUAA